rnacentral:rRNA from 1 species
UACAUAUCAAUAAGCGGAGGAAAAGAAACCAACAGGGAUUGCCCUAGUAACGGCGAGUGAAGCGGCAACAGCUCAAAUUUGAAAUCUGGCUCUCGGGCCCGAGUUGUAAUUUGUAGAGGAUGCUUUUGAUGCGGUGCCUUCCGAGUUCCCUGGAACGGGACGCCAUAGAGGGUGAGAGCCCCGUCUGGUUGGAUGCCAAAUCUCUGUAAAGCUCCUUCGACGAGUCGAGUAGUUUGGGAAUGCUGCUCUAAAUGGGAGGUAUAUGUCUUCUAAAGCUAAAUACCGGCCAGAGACCGAUAGCGCACAAGUAGAGUGAUCGAAAGAUGAAAAGCACUUUGAAAAGAGAGUUAAAAAGUACGUGAAAUUGUUGAAAGGGAAGCGUUUAUGACCAGACUUGGGCUUGGUUAAUCAUCUGGGGUUCUCCCCAGUGCACUUUUCCAGUCCAGGCCAGCAUCAGUUUUCGCCGGGGGAUAAAGGCUUCGGGAAUGUGGCUCUCUCCGGGGAGUGUUAUAGCCCGUUGCGUAAUACCCUGGCGGGGACUGAGGUUCGCGCAUCUGCAAGGAUGCUGGCGUAAUGGUCAUCAACGACCCGUCUUGAAACACGGACCAAGGAGUCGUCUUCGUAUGCGAGUGUUCGGGUGUCAAACCCCUACGCGUAAUGAAAGUGAACGCAGGUGAGAGCUUCGGCGCAUCAUCGACCGAUCCUGAUGUUCUCGGAUGGAUUUGAGUAAGAGCAUACGGGGCCGGACCCGAAAGAAGGUGAACUAUGCCUGUGUAGGGUGAAGCCAGAGGAAACUCUGGUGGAGGCUCGCAGCGGUUCUGACGUGCAAAUCGAUCGUCAAACAUGGGCAUGGGGGCGAAAGACUAAUCGAACCUUCUAGUAGCUGGUUUCCGCCGA